rnacentral:rRNA from 1 species
CACGUAGGGGGCAAGCGUUGUCCGGAUUUAUUGGGCGUAAAGAGCUCGUAGGCGGUUCGGUAAGUCGGGUGUGAAACCUCCAAGCUCAACCUGGAGACGCCACCCGAUACUGCUGUGACUAGAGUCCGGUAGGGGAGCGUGGAAUUCCUGGUGUAGCGGUGAAAUGCGCAGAUAUCAGGAGGAACACCAGCGGCGAAGGCGGCGCUCUGGGCCGGAACUGACGCUGAGGAGCGAAAGCGUGGGGAGCAAACAGG